rnacentral:lncRNA from 1 species
UGAUGUCACAAUUCCCCGCCUCCCUGGGGUCAAGGAAACUUGGUGCAAGGGAGAAAACAGGCUCAGGGAUCCAACCCGAGGCAAGGGGGAAGCAGGUAGGGGAUCCAAAGUGCCCCCGGCCAUGCCCGCUCGAGCCGGGUGGCGGGCCAGGGGCAACUGAGGGCUGACCCCUCCUUGGGGCGAACCGGAGAUCUCUGAAGCUGCAGGGGGAUGACCAGGAUGGUUCGCUGCAGCGGCGGCAACCAGAGUUUGUUGCUCUACUCUCGAUGGAAUGGUCCAGGACGCCAAUCCUUGCUUAGUGACCAAGUGACUGGUAGCAGCUGGGACCCGAAUUCCCUCUCCGUAAACCUGGGGUUGCCCGCCCACCUGAUCCAUCGCCACAAGUCCCAGCCAGCCUAUACCACCUACGUUUCUCCGAUGGUCAGGAGAUUUCUCCAACGCUCCCCUCCGGAACCGGAACUCCCCAAGACGGGCGGCCCGCCUGAAAUGGCCCAAGAAAGGCAGGAAGCAGAGAGUGAGGGGCCGCCCCAGUCAGCGCUCAGCCCUCAGAAUUCAGCGGCCGUCCCCCGGGGCCUGGAGCCUGACCCAGGUUCGGCCCAGGGCCCCUCAGGGUCGGGAUAUAAGGUCAUUUUCCCGCGGAAACCCCCGCUCCGGGUACUUCCCUUUGGCUCCCAAACCGGGCGCGAGGAGGGAGAGGUAAGGGAUUGUCCGCAGUUGAUGCUUGAAGAAUGACUUUCCCUCCGUCUGGGUCACCAAAGCUGUUCCCCUGUGAAAUUUCUUUUAACAUGUCUUUAAAAGGCUCUCCCGGACAUCCCAGACUCAUUUUGGGUCAGAGUCAUAGCGGGAAAGGUUCAAAGCCGUGGGGAUUGUAUAGCACGUCAGAAAGAGUCAGUUCUGCGUCGGCAGUUUGUUGUUAAUAUUGCUAUUAUUAUUAUCACUUUAUGUGAAGUCUUGUUACAUGUCAAACACUUUUCCUAGUGCUGGGAUACAUGCAGGUUAAUCGGGUCAGACACAGUCCCAGUCCCACAUGGGGCUCACGAUCUUAAUAGGAGGGAGAAAAGAUAUCGAAUCCCUGUUUUACAGCUGAGAAAACUGAGGCACAGAGAAGUGAGGUGACUUUCCCCAGGUCACAAAGCAGACAGGUGGUGGAGUUGGGAUUAGAACCCAGGUCCUCUGACUUCCAGGCCCGUAAUCUUUCCACUAGGCCACACCGCUUCUCUAGGCUCCUUUUCUAGACAUUCGUUUGACACUUGAAGUCUGUCCAGCAGUAGGCGAAUCCAGCCGGAGGUUAGAGAGGCUCAGAGGAAAUUCCCCCAUCUGGUGAGUUGCUCAUUUCCUCUGCUUACUCUUCCAAUAAUGAUGAUAAUAACUGGGCACUCGUUAAGCACUUACUAUAAGCCAAGCCCUCUACUAAGCACUGGGGUAGAUGAUAAUCAGGCUAAACACCGUCCAUGUCUUACACGGGACUCACAGUCAAAGGAGAAGGGAAAAGUGGCUAUGAUUUGGAUUCUCCAACUUUUCCCUGCUGCUAUGCCGCUGUAAGCCCUGAAGAGUUUAUUUUUAUUUAUUUUAUUAGCACUUACUAUGUCAGUUGUAUUUAUCUAUGUCAGUUGUAUUUAUUACUGUGUGCAGAGCACUGUACUGAGCACUUGGCAGAGUACAAUAUAACAAUAAACAGACAUUCCCUCCCCACAACGAGCUUAUUCAGGGACUGUCCUAAGACCCGAGGUAGAUACCAGAAAGACUGGACACGGUCCGAGUUCGUUGAGGGGCGCGCAGUUUUUCAUCCCCACUUUACAGAUGAGGUAACUGAGAUCCAGAGAAGUGAAGCCACCUGCCCAAGGUGACCCACACACAGCAGACAAGUGGCAGAGCCGGGAUUAAAACUCAGGUCCCCUCACUCCCAUUCCCUUUCCUCUAGGCCAUGUUGUUUCUGUUAUCGUUCAACACUAAAUGAGAAACAGGCCAGAAACCCAAAACCCCACACGCUUAUCCACGCAUCAAUUCCUUUGGCACUAAUUCCCUCGUCAAUUACUCUGGGAGAAUUUGAAAGAUAUCUCGACUCACCCUUAUCUCUACUCACCCUUGGUUGGAGAAGAGAAGGCCUUUCUCUCGAGGGGACUAAACUCUGUAUUUCCCAAGAUCCUACAGCGUGGAGGUGAAAAGUCACCCCUCCGCCUGGGGAAGCUCUCUUUCCCCCUGCUCCCCAAAUUGGACCUCCUCGGGGCUGACAGAACCCCCGAGACCCUAAGGAAUGGCGUGGACACAAUAGAAGCUUGGUAUGAUGUCAAUGUUUCGAGUGGGUGAGACGUAGGAAGCAAAAAUAGAUAUUUAGACAUUUUUCCAUCCCUGCUUAUUUGUAACAGAGUAUUUAUAGUUCCGGGCAAGGACACAGACUCUCUUUGUGACCCACUGGCACGAGUAUCGCGGCCCGUUUGGCCUUGACCUUACCAGGCGGCCCCGUUGACCCAGCCCACUCCCCCAGAGAGACGAAUCGCCACUGGUCCUAGGGCAGCCGCAGGACUCGAGUUCCUUGGAGACCCCAGCGCUUAAUACGGUGCUUGGCAUACAGUGAACGCUUAACAAAUACCCAAAUUAUCAGGUACCAGGCCACCGAGUGCGGGUCUCGGGUGUGGGAAGGAAAUAUGGCUGUUUAUUGUUGUAUUGUAUCCCGACUCCGCCACUGUGUGACUUGGGGCAAGUCACUUCACUUCACUUCUCUGUGCUUCAGUUCCCUCAUCUGUAAAAUUGGGAUUAAGACUGUGAGCCCCAAGUGGGACGAUCUGAUUACCUUGUAUCUACCCCAGUUCUUAGAACAGUGCUUGGCACAUAGUAAGCACUUCAAUACAGUAUUAUUAUUAUUAUUAUUGUGUCUCCUGCUCACAGGGAGCUCACAGCUUCCACCAGGAAUUUGAUGGUCAGUCAGAGCUUAACCGUACUGAGCGCCGGGGAGAGUACAAUAUAACAGUGAAACAGCCACAUUCCCUGCCCACAACAAGCUUAAAGGCAGUUUCACAAAGCAGGAUCGGUUUCUCCCAGCUCAGAAACGUUCCCGGGAUUGUGGCCAAGAUGGCCUGGGGAGGUCAGGGAGAGAGGUUUCCUUGUUAGGGUGGGUGCGGUUCGUCUCCCUCUCCCCUCCGUGAGCCGAGAAGCUCCUGGAGCCGGGACCUGUUUACUACAGUCGGAACACUCGAGCCGCUGGGAGGGCGGAAAGAGGAGCCGUGGCUAUCGCUCGCGAGCGACAGAUGCGUCUCCCGAAGGGAGCAGCUGCGGGUAGCUGGCCCGUCUCCCUCGCGGCCAAAUAAAGAGAUGGCCCGACGUCCGGGGAGGCCGUCCAAGGCUCCGGUUACCGUGGGCCCCAACGCCCGGAUGAGGACGGGCUGGCGGAGGCUCCUCGUGUCCUGCUGGCAGAGCUCCCAAGCCGGGGACCCUCGGGCCUCCCGUUGGCAGGAUCGCUCGGCUACGGCUGCCCCCCACAGAAACAGAAGCGGGCCCCCACCCUCCUGAGCUCAUUGCGGGCAGGGAACACAUCUGUCGACUCUCUUCUAUUAUACUCUCUCAGCUGCUUAGUACUGUGCUCUGCACGUAGCAAGUGAGAAGCGGUGGGGCUCAGAAAAACGGCGUGGCCUAGCCGAUAGAGCACGGGCCCGGGAGUCAGGAGGGCCUGGGUUCUAAUCCCGGCUCCGCCACGUGUCUGUCGUGUGACCUCGGGGGGCCCACUUGGCUUCUCUGGGCCUCGGGUGCCUCAUCUGUAAAAUGGAGAUUGGGAGUUUGGCCCCAUGUGGGACAGGGACUGCAAGAUCCUGGCUCUCCCCAUCUUAAAAGCACCGUCUCCUCCAGAAGGCUUUCCCCUUCGUGGAUCCAUUUUCUUUGGGCUUGUUCAUCUAAAAGCCUUGGGGUUAUAAAGCUGAGUGCUUUAUGUAUUCCGUCGAUUUCGAUGAGCUCAUCCUCUAUUUUUGAUUGGGGAACCAAAAGCAAGGAGGGCAAAGGAAGCACUUUAAUACUGCAUCCCAGCUGGAUACUGGGAAUCGAUUGCUGGUGGUAGGACCAUCGUGUCGGGCCGCUUUCAAGAAAGGAGAGACUUUCUCUGAGCAAAUGCUUCCUCAGGACAAAGGAGCAAGGAGGAAAAAGAGAAUACAGCGCCAGAUGCUGGGAACACUGUCUUUUGCGGUACACGAUGUGGUCAGGACUGUUUGCUCCACAUUGGCCUUUUCCCCACACGCACUCAGAGCUGGAUUUCACCGCCAGUGUUUUUUGUUUUUUUUAUGGUAUCCGUUAGGUGUUUACUCUGUGCUAGAAACUGUACUAAAUGCUGGGAUAGAUACAAACUAAUCAGGUUGGACACAAUCCCUGUCCCACAUGAGGCUCACAGUCCUCAUCCUCAUUUUACAGAUGAGGUAACUGAGGCACAGAGAAGGGAAGUGACUUGCCCAAGGUCACACAGCGGAUGAGUGGCAGAACAGGGAUUAGAACCCAGGACCUCUGAUUUCUAGGUCCGGGCUUCAUUCUCUAGGCAAAGCUGCUCCUGCCAGUCUGUCUUCUUCAAAUGCAAAGAGCAGCUAAAUAUUCAUCUACCCUGGAGCUUAGCACAAGGCUUGGAGUAGAGUAAGCACUUAAAAAAUACCACAAUUAUUGGUAUUAUGACAUCUUUGUGAGAAGCAGCGUGGCCUAAUGGAUAGAGCCCGGGCCUGGGAGUCAGGCCCAACCCGACUGACUUGUAUCCAACCAAGCGCUCAGGAUGGUACCGACCACAGAGAAAGCGCUUAACGAAUCUCACAGUUACUAUUGGUAAUAUGACUUCCAUCAGGGUCCAGUGUAGGAAGCCUCCGAGGUCCAGUGGGGGUCUGGGGAGCCCUGUGACCUCCUCUUUCCCUUUCAUUCAAUAGUAUUUAUUGAGCGCUUACUAUGUGCAGAGCACUGUACUAAGCGCUUGGAAUGGACAAAUCGGUAACAGAUAGAGACGGUCCCUGCCCUUUGUCGGGCUUACGGUCUAAUGGGGGGAGACGGACAGACAAAAACAGUAGCAAUAAAUAGAAUGGAGGGGAUGAACAUCUCAUUAAAAUAAUAGCAAAUAAAUAGAAUCAAGGUGAUGUACGUCUCAUUAACAAAAUAAAUAGGGUAAGGAAAAUAUAUACAAAUGAGCG